rnacentral:misc_RNA from 1 species
GAUGAAGAACGUAGCGAAAUGCGAUACGUAAUGUGAAUUGCAGAAUUCAGUGAAUCAACGAGUCUUUGAACGCACAUUGCGCCCCCUGGUAUUCCGGGGGGCAUGCCUGUCCGAGCGUCAUUGCUGCCCUCAAGCACGGCUUGUGUGUUGGGCCUCCGUCCUCCUCCCGGGGGACGGGCCCGAAAGGCAGCGGCGGCACCGCGUCCGGUCCUCGAGCGUAUGGGGCUUCGUCACCCGCUCUUGUAGGCCCGGCCGGCGCUUGCCGACACAUCAAUCUUUUUUCCAGGUUGACCUCGGAUCAGGUAGGGAUACCCGCUGAACUUAAGCAUAUCAAUAAGCGGAGGA